UGCUUCCACCACCGCGGCCGUAGAGGCGGAAGCAAGGGGUUGGGCUUCUGUCGGUGUUGGACAGCGCGAUGCCAAACGUGCCAGCCACUCUUGCUGCCGUCCGCCUCCCUCUUCCACGAUAGGUUCGCCCGCACCGAGCCUAGACGCAGAUAGCUCUCGACCGUCCGCUACAGCGCUGUCGAAGAGACGGUAAUGGAGGAGGCCUCGCCCGAGACGGUGGAGGAGCCACUGCUGGUGAGCGCAAUCAGAGGGAAAAAGGUUGAGAGGGCACCAAUCUGGCUCAUGAGGCAAGCCGAGAGUGCCUCAAGAUUCUGAAGGUUUCUGUCAACCUGACAUGCACCACGGAAUGGAGGUUCGCCUUGGUUUGUCCAAGGGACCUAUCUGCCCUAGCUUCAGUUGAGGCAGUGAAUGUAGUUCUGCGGUUCUGCCGCACAUUGAUGCACCUUAGUACAGUACACUCGGGUUAAUAAAGACCACAUUAGGAUGGUGAAACGGUGAAAACUGAUGGCUUGCAUAUGUUCAGAGUGUUAUGUUGUAAUGAAUGCAUACUGCGAAGCAUCGCAGUUGAGCUUUAGGAUCUCUGCAGCUGCAGGUGACUUCUUUCGUACUCGAAUUAGAGUUAGCUGUGAAUUGCAAUUCUUUUGUUAUUUUUCUCUAACUUGUACGAGGAAAGCAAUCCAUAGGAAUUUUUAAAUAUGCAAACAAAAUCCAUAGGAAUAUUUGGUGCAUGGCUGAUUUUUUUCACUAAUUA